AUAUCACUCACAAUUCAGAAUUGGGUACUGAGUUCUGAAAAAGCUGAUGUAUGUAAGUGAUUAUUGGGACAUCUCAUCCUCGUAUUGCAGGUGUUAAUAAAUUACAAUGCUCAUGAAAUAACGGAGUUUGGGAUAAAUAACUUCAUUUUACACGACUAUUUAAAGAGCUGUAAGAGCUUCUCCAAGAAAUACCCUACCCCAGAAUCACACAAACUCUU